UACCAGCUCUCCGAGUGGUAGGGAUGAUUAUUGAGCUUAAAGCGUCCGUAGCCGGCUUAGCAAGUCUCCUGUUAAAUUCAGCGACCUAAUCGUUGAGCCGCGGGAGAUACUACUAGGCUAGGAGGCGGGAGAGGUCAACGGUACUUCCGGGGUAGGGGUGAAAUCCUAUAAUCCCGGGAGGACCACCAGUGGCGAAGGCUGUUGACUAGAACGCGCUCGACGGUGAGGGACGAAAGCUGGGGGAGCGAACCGGAUUAGAUACCCGGGUAGUCCCAGCUGUAAACGAUGCGAGCUAGGUGUUGGGGUGGCUACGUGCCACUUCAGUGCCGCAGGGAAGCCAUUAAGCUCGCCGCCUGGGGAGUACGGCCGCAAGGCUGAAACUUAAAGGAAUUGGCGGGGGAGCACCACAAGGCGUGAAGCUUGCGGUUC
rnacentral:rRNA from 1 species